ACACCAAGAAGGUCUAAAACUACGAGACUGGAAAAAGCGCUUGAAUGCAUCACAGGAGUAAACUUCACGGUGUGCGCGGCGGAAUUUUGUUUUGCAGACAUCGAUGUUCGAUCAGCUCGUUUUUGCGAUAUUUCAAACAGGAUUUGAAAUUAGGGACGGAUCCAGAUGUUCCAGUGAACAAUGCUCAAACCACACACCUCGGUUUUUCAUUAUGCAUCAUGAUUUUUCGCAACUAGUUAACAACAUAUGUUACGCUUCCAUGUCGUUUCUCUGUUCCAAAGUACAACAAACGCUAGGUUAGCGAGUUUAUCUGAGGGUUCACCAGGUCAGAGUGUGUUUUACAGGUCAGGCGAUACUUGGAGUUAGUCUCCGUUUGACUUCUACCGACUGUUUCGUUUCUCUUGUGCCGGUCGAUCAUAUUAGGGUUACUGUAUAACUCAUUUCGGUGGCGUAUUUCAGUCAAGCGUCGGAAUGAGUUUAAGAGGAGAGACGACCGUGGGAACAUUCAAAGCUUCAAUUUCUUCCCAGGAUAACGUUACAGACCAACCUAAGAGGAGGAAAAUUAUUUACAUCGUUUACCUAAUCGCUGCUUUGGAUGUGACAUGGAUGUUUUUACAGUUCUCUGUAACGCCUUAUCUGGCAAAGAAACUUGGCUUUGAUACCUUGUGGAUUGGUUAUUUGCAAACCACAGUGGGCGUCAUCCAGCUGCUCGGGGGUCCUCUUUUUGGAAGGUUUGCAGAUCUCUUUGGAGCACGAGCAGCCUUGUCUCUAGCAUGUUCUGCAGCGAUUGCUUCCUUUCUGCUGCUGGCUAUAGCAAACCAUCCUGCCAUGCUGUUCAUCCACAAACUCCCCACAGUCUUCAUGCAUGUCCUACCUGCAUGUCAGAUGGUCGUUGCAGAUUUGUCAGAACCUGAAAAAAAAGCAGAUGGUCUAUCCAAACUAGGUCUGUGUUUUGGCAUCGGUAUGAUAGUUGGGUCCACAAUGGGCGGCCUUCUUAGCACACGCUAUGGGCAGACGUUUACUUCAUGUUUUGCUGCUGCAGGGAAUGUCUUCAGUUUACUGUUGGUUUUAAAGUUUAUCCCAAAAACUACUAAAGCUCAAACUCCAAGAACUAGCACAGACAGUGAGAAAAAAAACAAAUCACUAUUUGAUGUGGGUGAGAUCACAAGACUGAUGAAGUUUCCAGGCGUGACUCCGACAUUUCUUGUGAAGAUCAUCGCAGGUUUGCCAUCAGGCAUUUUUCAAGUGAUGUUUUCCAUCAUUGCAUUGGAUUUCUUCAAGCUGCAGCCUCAGGAGAAUGGCUAUCUAAUGGCUUAUUUUGGCAUAGUCCAAAUGGUUAUUCAGGGAGCAGUGAUCGGUCGACUUACAGCGAGAUACUCUGAGAGCUCACUACUGCUUUUGUCCGUCGGAGUUUCUUCUUUGGUGGGACUGGCUCAGGCUUACAUGCAGAAUGUGUUCCAUUUCUGCCUCAUUGUCUUGCCAAUGAUGUUUGCUCUCAGCAUGUUUGGUGUCAUCACAGACAGCAUACUCACCAAGAGUGUGCCAUCCUCUGACACAGGCACAAUGCUGGGGCUGUGUGCAUCUGUUCAGUCUCUGCUUCGCACAGUUGGACCGACUGCUGGUGGCUUCCUAGUUAGCAAUGGUAACAAGAACCAUAUCCUGCAACUUGGCGCCCUGACCUGUGAGCCAGCUGAACUUUGCAGACGACCGGUCCAUUUUCCUGAGCAAUGGUCCUGGACCAACAGCGGUCAUCCUGUGCCAGGCUGAGCUGGAGAUCCGAUAUGCGGUCCUGAUCUGAAUGCUUCCCUGAUGAGAGUGUGACCCCCUGAUUUCAGUGGCAGUUGUGAACAGUCCCACACAUCAUCGGGCCGGCCAGAAACUAUAGAUGGUGGGCUGGUGGUAAUCCCAGCUGCCCAUUGGCUUGACCCUUUGCACUUCACACAGCUCCUCCCAAACCAACAUGCGACAACCCCCAAAACCUUAACAAGCCUGCUGAGCUGCACGACCAAAGAGCUGCUUUAAACUGAAGUGAAAAACUGGCCUGGAAUUUGUGCAGAAGGACUUGGCAGUUACCUAAAAACAUUAGGAUUCAUCCUCUGUGGACCAUGAAUACAAACACCAAAUCUGAUGUAAGUCUUGCAAAUGGUUUUUAAGAUUCUUAGUCAUAAACUAAAGCGCUUGACAGGAUGGGUGCAUGAUAUGAAUCAACCACAAUGACAGUUUUUGGUUGUUUGUGUGGACAGACAUGAGGUCACUGUGACCUUUGACCAUAAAAACCCAAUCAGUUCAUUCUUGAAUCCAAGUGUCAAACCUCACUUGUGUCAAACUUGAACAAAUUCCCUCAAAGCUUUGCUGAGAUAUUGCGUUUCUGACAAUGGGCCUGAUGGAUGGACAGACAAGCUAAAAACUUAAUGCCUCAGACCACUGUUAUUGCCAGCAUGGAGGCAUAAAUAUAUACUGUAUGUACAUUAAAUUCAGUAACUCCACAGCUACUGAGUGAUGUGGAAGAUGAAGAUCUGCUGCCAGAGCUUUGACACACCUGACCCAUAGGUAAGAGGCUCAGCAACCACAGUCAGAUCCUAAAGGCAGCUUUAAUCACCCUGUUAUAUAACACGCAAGGCACAUACACUCACAAACUGAUGCCGGGCUGAUGUGAGGAUGCAGCAACACUGCUGUCAUCAGCACUGGCCAGAUCAAUUUUAACAGUAACCCCACCCCUCCCUAGCCCUCAUCUCCAUGCUCCUGGAGUUUACUUUGUGAUCCAUAGUAACACUUUUCUCCUGUGUACGUGUGCGAUUUUAAAAUCUUUUUUCACAGGCCGACCAGGUUACUGAAUGUUUGACCGGCGAUGUAAUCAGGUGUGCUGCAGCGGGGUCUCAAACAUGGCAGACAUAUUUAUGAGGAAAACUGUUUAGUUGUGUAUUCAUCAGACAAAAGAAACAAGGGUUUAUCAUAACACCUGAGAACACAUGUCACAUAAUCUGUACUAGUACAGAUAAACCAUAUUAAAAAAAACCACAAGAACAGGAAAACGAAGAACCAUGAAUAGAAAAGUUAAAUGAACCAAUUUGAUGGAACAAAAUGAAAUAAUGUAUAAAACGGAAUAAAUAUUUUAGUAAAAGAACAACAGUUAUUUUUUGUUUCUCAUCAUAGACUGUCUCUGACUUGUCUCUAUCAACACAUGAUUUAUUAAAAAAUGACAAAUAUUUGGAUUUCAAAACCCCAAGGUAACAAUUUAUUACCUAAUAUAAAAUCUAAGGAACCACCAUUAAUCUACAAAUGAUUUACUGAUCAGCCUCAGUCCAAGGAUCUAUUUGUGAAUGAUUAGGUGACACUGAGUGGCUGUAUAAUGUACAAAGUGCUGGUGGUAAGAAAGCUGGGUAAAAUCAGAUGUAGGUUGAUGAAGGUUUGUGUCAUUUUAUUUGUGUUGUUUUCAAAUUCUCAUCUGAAGUAUAGUCAUAGUUAAUGUCAUUACAUAACACAGCUCCUCUAAUCAUUCUUUGAAUCCUAAUAUUAGACUGCUCCCAUGCUAAUCUAUUUGUCUUGGAAUAAUCUAUGCCCUGCUAAUGUAAGCAAGUCUUCAUCUAGAACUCGAUGGUGAUUGAUUAUGUAAACUGUAGUAGUGCUGUGAUGUGCCUGGCCGGCCAGCUGCAGCUGUCACCUUCUAAACAUGGAGUCACAAUAUACAAGGCAGACCUGAGUAUAUGUGUGUAUGUGUUUUACUUCAUCUUUUAUUCUUCUUUUACUCUCUUAGGGAAUUAUACUGUGCAUGUCCAGUCACAGCUGGGUGGUGUUGCAGGACAACAAGCACGGAACUAUCAACAGGAAAGAUUGAUGUUUGCAUCUUUUGUUGGUGUGACGUACUGCAGAAAAGCUGCAUCAGUAAAAAGUUUCCAGUUUUGAUACUAUUUUUAGUCCCAUUUGUUUGUGUUUGCUAAAUGUCAACUUUAAGAGAUUGUACAGCCUUAGGACAGCUUUUUAUAUACUAGAAAUAAUCAAAACUGUCUGCAGGAAAAUUUAAAGAAAGCAAAUUUUCACAGAUUUUUAACAGUAAGGUGAUCGUAACCAAUCACAGACUGUUAAUACUGAAAGCUAAAAGUUGCUCAGCUCCAAGUGAAAAAGAUGCAGCAUCUUGUCAAGCACUAAUAUUGUAAAAUGUUUAGAUGCAAUCAUCCUCUCUAUUUACUUUUUGAUAACGAUGACUAAGGUUAAUAACUGAGGAUAUGUCAACCCUAACCCUUCUUGCAUAGAGCAUAUUAUUUGAGUGGAUAAUACACAUGAUUUUAAUAAAUAAUAAAGCAAUAAUGCUCUCACUCAUGAGGUCCUUUUGCUCAUAAGAUAUUAAAAGGAUUCACCAGCACAUUAUAAGUAAACUAAAGCUGCAUAGUAUAUGAAGCGGAGGCAAGUGAUAUGCUAGUCAGUUAGUUGGAUUUAGUCUAAAUCAGAGACUGGUCAGCAAGCUGUUUCUGAGGCUUUUUAACUUUGGACAAGAAAAAUAUUCCUAAAGGCCUGACACCUGUUUUAAUGGUGUCAUGGCUUUAGAAGCUUCUGAUUGGCUAAUUGACAUUUGAGUCAAAAGGAGGUGCGGUACCUACGUCUCAGUACCUCUUUGUUUGACAUCAUGGGAAAACCAAAAGACAUCAGCCAAGACAACAGAAAAAAAAUAGUGAACUUUCAGAAGACUGGUUUCAUCCUUGGGAGCAAUUUUCAAAUGCCUGAAGGUACCAUGGUCAUCUGUUCAAACAAUACUACACAAGCAUAAACACCACAGGACAAUGCAGCCGUCACACUGCUCAGGAAGGAGAUGCGUUCUGUCUCCUAGAGAUGAACGUACUUUGGUCUAAAAAGUAUCCCAGAGCAACAGCAAAGGACCUUGUGAGGACACCAGAGGAAACAGGUACCAAAGUAUCUGUAUCCACAGUAAAAUGAGUCCUCUAUCGACAUAACCUGAAAGGAUGCUCAGUGAGGAAACAGCCACUGCUCCAAGAGCUCCAUUAAAAAAGGCAGACUACAGUUUGCAGCUGCACAUGGGGACAACGAUCUUCCUUUUGGAGAAAUGUCCU